rnacentral:rRNA from 1 species
UGAGGAAUAUUGCUCAAUGGACGAAAGUCUGAAGCAGCAACGCCGCGUGAGGGAUGAAGGUGCUCUGCAUUGUAAACCUCUGUAGUCGGGGACAAAAAACGGGUUAUUACCCGUCUGAUGGUACCCGAAAAGUAAGGAUCGGCUAACUACGUGCCAGCAGCCGCGGUAAUACGUAGGAUCCAAGCGUUGUCCGGAUUUACUGGGUGUAAAGGGUGCGCAGGCGGACUUGUUAGUCAGAGGUGAAAUCUCACUGCUCAACAGUGAAACUGCCUUUGAUACUGCAGGUCUUGAAUCCAGAAGAGAGUUGUGGAAUUCCGAGUGUAGCAGUGAAAUGUGUAGAUAUUCGGAAGAACACCAGCGGCGAAGGCAGCAACUUGGUCUGGUAUUGACGCUCAGGCACGAAAGCAUGGGGAUCAAACAGG